AGGGAAUCUUCCACAAUGGACGAAAGUCUGAUGGAGCAACGCCGCGUGAGUGAUGAAGGUUUUCGGAUCGUAAAACUCUGUUGUAAGGGAAGAACCAGUACGUCAGGCAAUGGACGUACCUUGACGGUACCUUAUUAGAAAGCCACGGCUAACUACGUGCCAGCAGCCGCGGUAAUACGUAGGUGGCAAGCGUUGUCCGGAAUUAUUGGGCGUAAAGCGCGCGCAGGUGGUUUCUUAAGUCUGAUGUGAAAGCCCACGGCUUAACCGUGGAGGGUCAUUGGAAACUGGGAGACUUGAGGGAUGUAGGGGAGAACGGAAUUCCUGGUGGAGCGGUGGAAUGCGCAGAUAUCAGGAGGAACACCAGUGGCGAAGGCGGUUCUCUGGACAUUUCCUGACGCUGAGAAGCGAAAGCGUGGGGAGCAAACA
rnacentral:rRNA from 1 species